rnacentral:rRNA from 1 species
AUUGAACGCUGGCGGCAGGCCUAACACAUGCAAGUCGAGCGGAUGAAGGGAGCUUGCUCCUGGAUUCAGCGGCGGACGGGUGAGUAAUGCCUAGGAAUCUGCCUGGUAGUGGGGGAUAACGUCCGGAAACGGGCGCUAAUACCGCAUACGUCCUGAGGGAGAAAGUGGGGGAUCUUCGGACCUCACGCUAUCAGAUGAGCCUAGGUCGGAUUAGCUAGUUGGUGGGGUAAAGGCCUACCAAGGCGACGAUCCGUAACUGGUCUGAGAGGAUGAUCAGUCACACUGGAAGUGAGACACGGUCCAGACUCCUACGGGAGGCAGCAGUGGGGAAUAUUGGACAAUGGGCGAAAGCCUGAUCCAGCCAUGCCGCGUGUGUGAAGAAGGUCUUCGGAUUGUAAAGCACUUUAAGUUGGGAGGAAGGGCAGUAAAUUAAUACCUUGCUGUUUUGACGUUACCAACAGAAUAAGCACCGGCUAACUUCGUG